UGGGGGCCAUCUUUGAUACGAUGGGUAAUCACCACAUGCCAUAUCUGUUAACCCUUUUUUUUCUUUUUGUUUUUGAAUUUUAUGUCUUGAGGAUUGAUUCUAUCUUAUUUUCUUUUUAUUUUUUUGAAGAGUUCUGAUUCUGUUAUUUAAUUCUAUAGGAGACCCUUGUUAUUUUUAAUUUUUUUAAGAGAAUGCAUAAAAUGAUGCCCCAUGAUCCUAGUUGGUUGGGUUCGUAAGUAAUGAUGGUGAUGUAUGAUGGUGUUGGGGUUUCUGAUCUUGUUGGUUGUUUAGCUCUUUAUUAGUUUGAGGUGAUUUAGGGUUUGCAAGAAUGGUUUAUCUUCUGUUUGAUGGCCACAUGCCAUUAUUGCUCCACCUGGAAAAAAUUUUGAUCUUUUUGUGUAAAAUAUAAGGGAAUGGAAGAAUAAUGAGAGAACUGAGGUCAUUAUGAACCAGAAUGUCCAAGAUCUGUUUAAAUUGUCUAAAUUCAUCUGAGUAUGGUAAAAAAAGGGCUUGCCAUGCAACUAAUUUUCUGCCUUUAUAUUUGUUAUUUAUGCAAUAUUUUACCAAACUCUAUUUGGUGGUCGUCUGAUUUUUUUAAUAAUGUUUUUAUUCAGCUGUUCAAUUGUAUCAA
rnacentral:misc_RNA from 1 species